ACACUUUAUAUCAAGUAUACUGCACCAGUGUGGAGAAAUGCCAAAAUAAAAGCCUCAUAUUUAUGCCUCCAGAGAUUGCAUAUUUGACCAUAUUUGAGGUACUGUAAAAACAUAUUGCUCAGUGUUUCCUGGCUACUGAUGGUAUAUUUGACUUUUACACAUAUGAGACUACAAACAUACUUAAUAUCAAGCAUUUUUACUGUACCAAUUUGGAGAAAUUCAACAAUAAAAGUCCAUAUUUGUACCUCCAAGUGGUAUUUUCAUAUAUUUGAGCUACUGUAAAAACACUUUGCUCAAUAAUUCCUGGCUAUGGAUGAUAUAUUUGACUUCUACACAUCUAAGACUACAAGUAUACUUAAUAUCAAGCAUUUUUACUGUACCAAUGUGGAGAAAUUGAAGAAUAAAAGUCCCAUAUUUAUACUUCCAGAUUCCAUAUUUUCUUAUAUUUGAGCUACUAUAAAAAUGUAAACUGUAUGUGGAACCACCUGCAACAGCUGUCACACUGAAUAAUAUAAAAAAUAAUAUGUGAGGAAGAGACAGUAGGUACAAUGGUGUUUUGAAGUUAAAAGUAAUUAUUUUUCCCUUUUACCUACAAAUGGACACAGCAGAGCUGCAAAAUAAGAAGAAUGUGGACUGGCAUUGCAUUUUGUGUGAAAAGUAAACAAAUUAGAAUAGUGUAGGAUUUUGUGUUUAGUGUUUAUAUUAUCAAGAUGUUAUUAAACAUUUGUGUGAAAUUU